AGGAAGAGGGGGGACACUGCUGUGCUGGGCCACCGGUGUGGGUGCAGGCGGGAAGGAAUGUGCCUAGCGGGUGUGGCGAGGAGUGUAGCCAGCUGUGGGUUUUUCUUGGGGCCCAGAGAGACAUGGGCAGAGAUGGCCGCCCCGCUCCCCCGGCCCCCACCACACACACUGAGACCUUUCUUUA
rfam:Procavia capensis cont1.502826, whole genome shotgun sequence.